rnacentral:rRNA from 1 species
UACGGAGGGUGCGAGCGUUGUCCGGAAUCACUGGGCGUAAAGGGCGCGUAGGUGGCCCGUCAAGCGCGCGGUGAAAGCCCGGGGCUCAACCCCGGGUCGGCCGUGCGGACUGGCGGGCUCGAGCACUGUAGGGGCGGGUGGAAUUCCGGGUGUAGCGGUGGAAUGCGUAGAGAUCGGGAGGAACACCGGUGGCGAAGGCGGGUCUCUGGGCAUCUCCUGACGCUGAGGCGCGAAAGCGUGGGGAGCAAACGGG